rnacentral:lncRNA from 1 species
CGGUCCAUCAAUGACGACAAAAGGGUCGCUACUCGAUCGCUACCCGGCCGGCCGGCCGGCCGGAAUCGCUAAAAGUCAGUCAGCACCGACAGACGGUCCAUUGAGAGAAAUACUCCACAGGCUGUGUCAUUAGUAGGGAUAAAAACAGAUUAAAUACGGACAGAUAUUACCGAUAUUGUAUUUAUUUUUAUAUUUUUUUGUU